AUGGAGCUUCUCUGCCCGUCCUCAUGGCCGACGGUGAUGGUUGCUCCCUCCCUCUCCCCCUCCCAAAUGGCUCCCUAUUCCUCGGGUUUGACGGUAGCUCCUCGUCGGAGAUUUAAGGAGGAGGAGGUUCGCAUGAUGGUGGUAUCCUCGUCGGAGAUUAAGGAGGAGGAGGUGCGCCUGACGGUGGGUGCUUCACGCGCCGGCAAGUCGUCCUCGCCGGCGGGGGGCGCGGAGGAGGUUCGCAAGACGGCGAAGAAGGUGGAGGAGGUUGUUUGGAACGCGGUGUUCGCACUACUUGCCCGCAGGUUCUCGCUAUCGGGGCUCACCACGCCGUCGGCGUCCGUGAUUGGUGCGCGCGUUGAUAGAAGGCCAGUUCAUGUCCAUGAGGGGACAUGCUGA
rnacentral:rRNA from 1 species